CGGAUGGAUUUGAUACACAACAUAAAAAUGGUCAUAACUUUCUGUUCACAGCUCGGAAUUGAUAUCUGAAGAUUGAUCUGGAAAGCUGGGUCGAAGAUCUUCACGCCGGUAUAUAGAUCGUCUUCUGGAUCUUCCUAGAUCGCCGGAAAAACGCAUCUCAAGUUAGCUGCUCGCGGAUUGGAUUCUGCACAGAUAUGCCUCGGGAAAACACCUAUAACUUUCAAACCAUAACUCCAAAUAAUGAACGGCUUUCGGUUAUAUCUAGAUCUAAGGGUCAGGAACAUUCUCACCAAUUUUCAGGUCGAUCGGACUUCAAAUAAGUCGUCCACAGUCCUUUGAAGUUGCUGCGUCGAAGCAGAUUUCUGAGUUACAAGAUGAUGCAGAUGAUACUUGCGCAGAAAGAAAGCUUCGUUGUGGCCUGACCUUAACUCCGAUGACAAUGCCGUUUUCUCCUACGGCUUCAUUGCAUUGAGAUCUUUCCAGAAACACCUUGAUCACGGUUUAACUCUCUCUGAAACAGCGGGAAUCGCAUUCACAAAACCCCAUCUUGAAUCUGUGUCUUUUCCCUCAACUCUCUUCUCUUUUUCUUCUCUUCUCUUUCUUCUCUUCUCUUCUCUUAUGGCGCAGCUGUUUCUCUUCUCCAUUUUUUUUUGUUUCAUUAGUUUUGGUUUAGGUAUUUUGGUUUAGAGAAAAAGAAAUUAAAAUAUGGAUUUGGGCUUAAUGACGGUUAAAGGAAUAGGAUUAGAGUUUAAAGUUUUAAAA
rnacentral:lncRNA from 1 species